UGGGGGAUAUUGCACAAUGGGCGAAAGCCUGAUGCAGCGACGCCGCGUGGGGGAUGAAGGCUUUCGGGUUGUAAACCUCUUUCGCUAUCGAACAAGGCCCGCUUAGGGUGGGUUGAGGGUAGGUGGAGAAGAAGCGCCGGCUAACUACGUGCCAGCAGCCGCGGUAAUACGUAGGGCGCGAGCGUUGUCCGGAAUUAUUGGGCGUAAAGGGCUUGUAGGCGGCUUGUUGCGCCUGCUGUGAAAACGAGGGGCUUAACUUCGCGCGUGCAGUGGGUACGGGCAGGCUUGAGUGUGGUAGGGGUGACUGGAAUUCCAGGUGUAGCGGUGGAAUGCGCAGAUAUCUGGAGGAACACCGAUGGCGAAGGCAGGUCACUGGGCCAUUACUGACGCUGAGGAGCGAAAGCAUGGGUAGCGAACAGG
rnacentral:rRNA from 1 species